rnacentral:rRNA from 1 species
AUUGAACGCUGGCGGCAGGCCUAACACAUGCAAGUCGAGCGGAUGAAGGGAGCUUGCUCCUGGAUUCAGCGGCGGACGGGUGAGUAAUGCCUAGGAAUCUGCCUGGUAGUGGGGGAUAACGUCCGGAAACGGGCGCUAAUACCGCAUACGUCCUGAGGGAGAAAGUGGGGGAUCUUCGGACCUCACGCUAUCAGAUGAGCCUAGGUCGGAUUAGCUAGUUGGUGGGGUAAAGGCCUACCAAGGCGACGAUCCGUAACUGGUCUGAGAGGAUGAUCAGUCACACUGGAACUGAGACACGGUCCAGACUCCUACGGGAGGCAGCAGUGGGGAAUAUUGGACAAUGGGCGAAAGCCUGAUCCAGCCAUGCCGCGUGUGUGAAGAAGGUCUUCGGAUUGUAAAGCACUUUAAGUUGGGAGGAAGGGCAGUAAGUUAAUACCUUGCUGUUUUGACGUUACCAACAGAAUAAGCACCGGCUAACUUCGUGUCAGCAGCCGCGGUAAUACGAAGGGUGCAAGCGUUAAUCGGAAUUACUGGGCGUAAAGCGCGCGUAGGUGGUUCAGCAAGUUGGAUGUGAAAUCCCCGGGCUCAACCUGGGAACUGCAUCCAAAACUACUGAGCUAGAGUACGGUAGAGGGUGGUGGAAUUUCCUGUGUAGCGGUGAAAUGCGAAGAUAUAGGAAGGAACACCAGUGGCGAAGGCGACCACCUGGACUGAUACUGACACUGAGGUGCGAAAGCGUGGGGAGCAAACAGG